rnacentral:rRNA from 1 species
AUUGAACGCUGGCGGCAGGCCUAACACAUGCACGUCGAGCGAGAGGCGGACGUGUGAGUAAUGUAUGGGGAUCUUCCCGAUAGAGGGGGAUAACUACUGGAAACGGUGGCUAAUACCGCAUACUAUCGGAUGAACCCGAGUGGGAUUAGCUAGUUGGUGGGGUAAAGGCUCACCUAGGCGACGAUCUCUAGCUGGUCGGAGAGGAUGAUCAGCCACACUGGGACUGAGACACGGCCCAGACUCCUACGGGAGGCAGCAGUGGGGAAUAUUGGACAAUGGGCGCAAGCCUGAUGCAGCCAUGCCGCGUGUAUGAAGAAGGCCUUAGGGUUGUAAAGUACUUUCAGCGGGGAGGCGUUACCCGCAGAAGAAGCACCGGCUAACUCCGUGCCAGCAGCCGCGGUAAUUC